rnacentral:rRNA from 1 species
GACGAACGCUGACGGCGUGCUUAACACAUGCAAGUCGAACGGUGAAGCGCCUUCCUUUUUGGUGGGUGUGGAUGAGUGGCGAACGGGUGAGUAACACGUGAGUAACCUGCCCCCUUCUCCUGGAUAACCGCAUGAAAGUGUGGCUAAUACGGGAUAUUCUGGGUCUGUCGCAUGAUGGGUCUGGGAAAGAUAUUGUUUCGGUGGGGGAUGGGCUCGCGGCCUAUCAGCUUGUUGGUGGGGUGAUGGCCUACCAAGGCGGUGACGGGUAGCCAGCCUGAGAGGGUGGACGGUCACACUGGGACUGAGACACGGCCCAGACUCCUACGGGAGGCAGCAGUGGGGAAUAUUGCAAAAUGGGCGCAAGCCUGAUGCAGCGACGCCGCGGGAGGGAUGGAGGCCUUCGGGUUGUGAACCUCUUUCGCCAGUGAAGCAGGCCUGCCUCGUUUGUGGGUGGGUUGACGGUAGCUGGAUAAGAAGCGCCGGCUAACUACGUG